rnacentral:rRNA from 1 species
CCUACCCUUAGGACCGGGAUAACCUUGGGAAACUGAGGACAAUACUGGAUAGGCAAUUUUUCCUGUAAUGGUUUUUUGUUUAAAUGUUUUUUCGCCUAAGGAUGGGUCUGCGGCCGAUUAGGUAGUUGGUUAGGUAAUGGCUUACCAAGCCGUUGAUCGGUACGGGUUGUGAGAGCAAGAGCCCGGAGAUGGAACCUGAGACAAGGUUCCAGGCCCUACGGGGUGCAGCAGGCGCGAAACCUCCGCAAUGUGAGAAAUCGCGACGGGGGGAUCCCAAGUGCCAUUCUUAACGGGAUGGCUUUUCAUUAGUGUAAAAAGCUUUUGGAAUAAGAGCUGGGCAAGACCGGUGCCAGCCGCCGCGGUAACACCGGCAGCUCUAGUGGUAGCAAUUUUUAUUGGGCCUAAAGCGUCCGUAGCCGGUUUAAUAAGUCUCUGGUGAAAUCCUGUAGCUUAACUGUG